rnacentral:rRNA from 1 species
CCGGCACGGGUGGAGGUAACACGUAUCCAAACCGCCGUCUACUCUUGGACAGCCUCUGAAGGAAGAUUAAUACAAGAUGGCAUCAUGAGUCCGCAUGUUCACAUGAUUAAAGGUGUUCCGGUAGACGAUGGGGAUGCGUUCCAUUAGAUAGUAGGCGGGGUAACGGCCCACCUAGCCUUCGAUGGAUAGGGGUUCUGAGAGGAAGGUCCCCCACAUUGGAACUGAGACACGGUCCAA